UCAAGUUUCUCCAAUAACUCGGCAGAAUCCUCCUCAAUUAUACUCCGAUAAUUAAAGGCAGGCUUCGCACGAAAGAGCUUUAUCAAAUCUCUGGACAUACCUGCAGUAGGGGUGGAAGAUCCCACCUUGGCAGGAGUCCGGCGAGACAUUUCCAAGAUUGCGGGAUCAACGGAUUCGAGGGCGUCGUAAUCACUCUCCAAAGUGGCAAG
rnacentral:lncRNA from 1 species